UCUGUGGUUUGCAGUGAUGUCUAAACUUAAAUACCUCGCUCUCAGUUUCCGGUCGUCUGCACCCAUUUCUCUUGAGAAAGUUCUGAACUGAAGUGUAUUUAUUUGUUUCUAGGAUAAAAUGGGAAAUUGGAGUGCAAAGACUGAUGAUGAAUCAGAAGACAUCAUGUACUUCCACCAGGCAGCCUUGGAGAUGCAGCGUGAGAAGAUUAGAGCACUGCAAGAGGAAUUGCAAGAAAUCCGGGAAGAAGUCAGCAAACUGAAGAGUGAACUCCAGAAGGCAGCCUUGGAGAUGCAGCGUGAGAAGAUUGAGGAAGAGGAAUUCCAAGAAAUCCGGGAAGAAGUCAGCAAACUGAAGAGUGAACUCCAGAAGGUGGUCAACUUGAGCAGUGCCUGGCUCACCACCCCAUUUGGGAGAAAAUGAGAAAUUGGAGUGCAAAGACCAAUUACGAAUCAGAAGACGAAUUUCCAUUCAGAAGGCCAGUCUUUCCACCUAUCCUCAUGAGCCUUGGCGAGGUGAUGUCAGAAGCUUGGGGGGCAGCACUGCAGGAGGAAGUAGAAGAAAUAUUGCGAAGAAGCCAACUAACUGAACAGUGAACUUCCGAAGGUGGUCAACCCAGGCAGUGCGUGGCUCACCUCUGCGCGGAUUUGGCCUCCACUGCCCCCUCUUCCAGUGUGGAGCUCUACAUUGACGAACUCCAGGACACCUUGGUCGGGGAGGAAUUUUUAACUUUUGCUACAUGCUUUCGUUGAGAAUUUUGCUGCAAUGUCAGAGUACAAAUUGACAACCUAUUUUUCAUUUUAUUUUUAUUUGAAGUCAGAAGUGACUUAACAGGUGAAAUUCUGAAGUGGUUGUCUGGAUUUUUUGUGCCUUUAUGAGCCAUUUGAGGAUUUUUUUGUUUGUUUGUUUGUUUGUUUGUUUUGGUAACCUACCCAAAGAAAAUGGUCAAAGUGCACUUGUCAAAACUCUAUGUAGCAGGGUUAACCAAGAAUAUUGAAAUUGCAGUAAACAUUAACAUACUGAUA